UGUUCUGUGAAUAGAACACCUUUUGAUCACUGUACUGACCACAAUCCACAAAGAGCUAAUUAAAUAAUGACCCCGUCUGUCCCAGGCGUCUUGAGCUGCUCUCCAUCAUUGGGUGCCGAAACCCGGGAAUCUCGGACUCCAAUGACAAAGGCGUCGCUUCCUCCCACGAGCCGCAGUUGUAGCCCUCAGCCUUGUCUGGUGAAAAACUCUCUCAUGUAUGCAACCAUCUUUUGCAUUGUUGUAGCGUUAUGGGAGCACCGGAAUCAUUAAGAACCGAUCACGGGCAGCUUAUGGAAGUAACGGUUUUGCAACCUUUUGUCGACAUUUUAAAAUUUACCAUAAAACUGGAAUUCCAUAUAAUCCAGAAGGCCAAGGCAUAGCAGAAAAAUUUAAUCAUUUACUGACAACUCAACUAAAGAAAAUAAAAAGGGGGACAUGAGGAAUUAAAGAUACUCCGUCCUCUACGUUAUCACAUGCAUUAUUUGUUGUAAAUUUUUUGACACUGGAUGAUGAUGGAAAAUCGGCUGCAGAUAGCCACUGGAGUAAUAAAACAAGAGAUGAACCAAUGGCAUACUGGAGAAAUCCAAUGGACGGUAAAAUUUAUGGUCCUGAUCCUGUACUGAUUUGGGGCAGAGGAUAUGUUUGUGUUUUCCCUACAGACGAAACCUCACCAUGGUGGAUACUGGAGAGAUAUGUCCGACAUGCCGAAAACAAAGAUGGGAAAACUGUGAAGGAAGAUGC